rnacentral:rRNA from 1 species
UAGGGAAUCUUCCACAAUGGGCGCAAGCCUGAUGGAGCAACACCGCGUGAGUGAAGAAGGGUUUCGGCUCGUAAAGCUCUGUUGUUAAAGAAGAACACGUAUGAGAGUAACUGUUCAUACGCUGACGGUAUUUAACCAGAAAGUCACGGCUAACUACGUGCUAG